CCGGAUGCGGAUCUCGAAAGCCUGUCCCAGUUCGGACUGGAGUCUGCAACCCGACUCCACGAAGUUGGAUUCGCUAGUAAUCGCGCAUCAGCCAUGGCGCGGUGAAUACGUUCCCGGGCCUUGUACACACCGCCCGUCACACCAUGAGAGUUGGAAAUACCCGAAGCCUGUGAGCUAACAGUAAUGAGGCAGCAGUCGAAGGUAGAGCCAAUGAUUGGGUGAAGUCGUAACAAGGUAGC
rnacentral:rRNA from 1 species